rnacentral:rRNA from 1 species
AUUGAACGCUGGCGGAAUGCUUUACACAUGCAAGUCGAACGGCAGCACGGGGCAACCUGGUGGCGAGUGGCGAACGGGUGAGUAAUAUAUCGGAACGUGCCCAAUCGUGGGGGAUAACGUAGCGAAGUUACGCUAAUACCGCAUACGAUCUACGGAUGAAAGCGGGGGAUCGCAAGACCUCGCGCGAAUGGAGCGGCCGAUAUCAGAUUAGGUAGUUGGUGGGGUAAAGGCUCACCAAGCCAACGAUCUGUAGCUGGUCUGAGAGGACGACCAGCCACACUGGAACUGAGACACGGUCCAGACUCCUACGGGAGGCAGCAGUGGGGAAUUUUGGACAAUGGGCGCAAGCCUGAUCCAGCCAUUCCGCGUGCAGGAUGAAGGCCUUCGGGUU